UACGUAGGGACCAAGCGUUGUUCGGAUUUACUGGGCGUAAAGGGCGCGUAGGCGGCGCGGUAAGUCACUUGUGAAAUCUCUGAGCUUAACUCAGAACGGCCAAGUGAUACUGCAGUGCUAGAGUGUGGAAGGGGCAAUCGGAAUUCUUGGUGUAGCGGUGAAAUGCGUAGAUAUCAAGAGGAACACCUGAGGUGAAGACGGGUUGCUGGGCUGACACUGACGCUGAAGCGCGAAAGCUAGGGGAGCGAACGGG
rnacentral:rRNA from 1 species